rnacentral:rRNA from 1 species
GGCGAACGGGUGAGUAACACGUGGGUAACCUGCCCAUCAGAAGGGGAUAACACUUGGAAACAGGUGCUAAUACCGUAUAACAGUAGAAACCGCAUGGUUUCUAUUUGAAAGGCGCUUUUGCGUCACUGAUGGAUGGACCCGCGGUGCAUUAGCUAGUUGGUGAGGUAACGGCUCACCAAGGCAACGAUGCAUAGCCGACCUGAGAGGGUGAUCGGCCACAUUGGGACUGAGACACGGCCCAAACUCCUACGGGAGGCAGCAGUAGGGAAUCUUCGGCAAUGGACGAAAGUCUGACCGAGCAACGCCGCGUGAGUGAAGAAGGUUUUCGGAUCGUAAAACUCUGUUGUUAGAGAAGAACAAGGAUGAGAGUAAAACGUUCAUCCCUUGACGGUAUCUAACCAGAAAGCCACGGCUAACUACGUGCCAGCAGCCGCGGUAAUACGUAGGUGGCAAGCGUUGUCCGGAUUUAUUGGGCGUAAAGCGAGCGCAGGCGGUUUCUUAAGUCUGAUGUGAAAGCCCCCGGCUCAACCGGGGAGGGUCAUUGGAAACUGGGAAACUUGAGUGCAGAAGAGGAGAGUGGAAUUCCAUGUGUAGCGGUGAAAUGCGUAGAUAUAUGGAGGAACACCAGUGGCGAAGGCGGCUCUCUGGUCUGUAACUGACGCUGAGGCUCGAAAGCGUGGGGAGCAAACAGGAUUAGAUACCCUGGUAGUCCACGCCGUAAACGAUGAGUGCUAAGUGUUGGAGGGUUUCCGCCCUUCAGUGCUGCAGCUAACGCAUUAAGCACUCCGCCUGGGGAGUACGACCGCAAGGUUGAAACUCAAAGGAAUUGACGGGGGCCCGCACAAGCGGUGGAGCAUGUGGUUUAAUUCGAAGCAACGCGAAGAACCUUACCAGGUCUUGACAUCCUUUGACCACUCUAGAGAUAGAGCUUCCCCUUCGGGGGCAAAGUGACAGGUGGUGCAUGGUUGUCGUCAGCUCGUGUCGUGAGAUGUUGGGUUAAGUCCCGCAACGAGCGCAACCCUUAUUGUUAGUUGCCAUCAUUUAGUUGGGCACUCUAGCGAGACUGCCGGUGACAAACCGGAGGAAGGUGGGGAUGACGUCAAAUCAUCAUGCCCCUUAUGACCUGGGCUACACACGUGCUACAAUGGGAAGUACAACGAGUCGCGAAGUCGCGAGGCUAAGCUAAUCUCUUAAAGCUUCUCUCAGUUCGGAUUGUAGGCUGCAACUCGCCUACAUGAAGCCGGAAUCGCUAGUAAUCGCGGAUC